CCUACGGGUGGCAGCAGUGGGGAAUAUUGGACAAUGGGGGGAACCCUGAUCCAGCCAUGCCGCGUGUGUGAAGAAGGCCCUCGGGUUGUAAAGCACUUUCAGUGAGGAAGAACGCCUGGUGGUUAAUACCCAUCAGGAAAGACAUCACUCACAGAAGAAGCACCGGCUAACUCCGUGCCAGCAGCCGCGGUAAUACGGAGGGUGCGAGCGUUAAUCGGAAUUACUGGGCGUAAAGCGCGCGUAGGUGGCUUGAUAAGCCGGUUGUGAAAGCCCCGGGCUCAACCUGGGAACGGCAUCCGGAACUGUCAAGCUAGAGUGCAGGAGAGGAAGGUGGAAUUCCCGGUGUAGCGGUGAAAUGCGUAGAGAUCGGGAGGAAUACCAGUGGCGAAGGCGGCCUUCUGGACUGACACUGACACUGAGGUGCGAAAGCGUGGGUAGCAAACAGGAUUAGAUACCCCAGUAGUC
rnacentral:rRNA from 1 species